rnacentral:miRNA from 1 species
CCUGAUCAUUGCUGCUUAAAA